rnacentral:tRNA from 1 species
CGGAACAUAGCUCAGUGGUAGAGCAGCUGGCUUAUAUCCAGUGUGUCCCAGGUUCGAGUCCUGGUGUUCCGA